UCUAAUAUCAAACUACUUUUACCUCGGUCUGGUUUACCACGUGAUUUGAAAAACAGAACGACCUCUCGUUGCUAGGCUGUAAGUAGCUAUUUUAGGAACUAUUUUCAUGCAAUGGAUCAAACUGAACAGCAAGAAGAGGACUAUGGAUAUAACCUAUUCCCGGAGAGGAAUUCGGGAAAGUUCCAAAAGGGAUCGAUAGCAGAAAGCUUGUUCACUUUCAAUCACAAAUGUCAGGUCAUGCUACAAUUCGCAAUGGAAACAAGUCCAUAUGCAAAGCUUCUCCUUGGAGCCAUGAAAAGCUCAGGAUGAGCGCCCCAUAAUCGGAAAACAGGGAAAGGCCCAAACCAGGCCCAACAUCCUGGAACAUGGCAUUCACCAUUUAUGUUAAAUAAAACUGGACUAAUUACAC